UAAGCGACUAAGCGUACACGGUGGAUGCCCUGGCAGUCAGAGGCGAUGAAGGGCGUGCUAAUCUGCGAUAAGCGCCGGUAAGGUGAUAUGAACCGUUAUAACCGGCGAUACCCGAAUGGGGAAACCCAGUGUGACUCGUCACACUAUCAUUAACUGAAUCCAUAGGUUAAUGAGGCGAACCGGGGGAACUGAAACAUCUAAGUACCCCGAGGAAAAGAAAUCAACCGAGAUUCCCCCAGUAGCGGCGAGCGAACGGGGAGGAGCCCAGAGCCUGAAUCAGCAUGUGUGUUAGUGGAAGCGUCUGGAAAGGCGCGCGAUACAGGGUGACAGCCCCGUACACAAAAGCGCAUGUGCUGUGAGCUCGAUGAGUAGGGCGGGACACGUGGUAUCCUGUCUGAAUAUGGGGGGACCAUCCUCCAAGGCUAAAUACUCCUGACUGACCGAUAGUGAACCAGUACCGUGAGGGAAAGGCGAAAAGAACCCCGGCGAGGGGAGUGAAAAAGAACCUGAAACCGUGUACGUACAAGCAGUGGGAGCACCCUUUGGGUGUGACUGCGUACCUUUUGUAUAAUGGGUCAGCGACUUAUAUUCUGUAGCAAGGUUAACCGAAUAGGGGAGCCGGAGGGAAACCGAGUCUUAACCGGGCGUUAAGUUGCAGGGUAUAGACCCGAAACCCGGUGAUCUAGCCAUGGGCAGGUUGAAGGUUGGGUAACACUAACUGGAGGACCGAACCGACUAAUGUUGAAAAAUUAGCGGAUGACCUGUGGCUGGGGGUGAAAGGCCAAUCAAACCGGGAGAUAGCUGGUUCUCCCCGAAAGCUAUUUAGGUAGCGCCUCGUGAAUUCAUCUCCGGGGGUAGAGCACUGUUUCGGCUAGGGGGCCAUCCCGGCUUACCAACCCGAUGCAAACUGCGAAUACCGGAGAAUGUUAUCACGGGAGACACACGGCGGGUGCUAACGUCCGUCGUGAAGAGGGAAACAACCCAGACCGCCAGCUAAGGUCCCAAAGUCAUGGUUAAGUGGGAAACGAUGUGGGAAGGCCCAGACAGCCAGGAUGUUGGCUUAGAAGCAGCCAUCAUUUAAAGAAAGCGUAAUAGCUCACUGGUCGAGUCGGCCUGCGCGGAAGAUGUAACGGGGCUAAACCAUGCACCGAAGCUGCGGCAGCGACACUGUGUGUUGUUGGGUA
rnacentral:rRNA from 2 species